UACAGGGGGUGCAAACGUUGCUCGGAAUCACUGGGCAUAAAGCGCACGUAGGCGGCUUGGUAAGUGCGGUGUGAAAGCCCCCGGCCUAACCGGGGAACUGCAUCGCAGACUGCCAGGCUCGAGAGCGGUAGGGGAGACUGGAACUCCUGGUGGAGCGGUGAAAUGCGUAGAUAUCAGGAGGAACACCGGUGGUGAAAACGAGUCUCUGGUCCGCUUCUGACGCUCAGGUGCGAAAGCUAGGGGAGCAAACGGG
rnacentral:rRNA from 1 species